GAUGAACGCUGGCGGCGUGCUUAACACAUGCAAGUCGAGCGAGAAUUAAGUGGCGGAAGCUUAGGCAGAAGAAACUUAAGGAAAGCGGCGGACGGGUGAGUAACGCGUGGGUAACCUUCCUUAUACAGGGGGAUAACAUAUUGAAAAGUAUGCUAAUACCGCAUAAGACCACAGGGUCGCAUGACCUGGUGGUAAAAACUCCGGUGGUAUAAGAUGGACCCGCGUCUGAUUAGCUAGUAGGUGAGGUAGAGGCUCACCUAGGCGACGAUCAGUAGCCGACCUGAGAGGGUGAUCGGCCACAUUGGGACUGAGACACGGCCCAAACUCCUACGGGAGGCAGCAGUGGGGAAUAUUGCACAAUGGAGGGAACUCGUGAUGCAGCGACGCCGCGUGAAGGAAGAAGGUUUUCGGAUCGUAAACUUCUAUCAGCAGGGAAGAAAAUGACGGUACCUGACUAAGAAGCCCCGGCUAACUACGUGCCAGCAGCCGCGGUAAAACGUGUAGUGUACUA
rnacentral:rRNA from 1 species